rnacentral:rRNA from 1 species
GACGAACGCUGGCGGCGUGCCUAAUACAUGCAAGUUGAGCGAUGAAGCUUGGUGCUUGCCCCAAUUUGAAGAGCAGCGAACGGGUGAGUAACGCGUGGGGAAUCUGCCUUUGAGCGGGGGACAACAUUUGGAAACGAAUGCUAAUACCGCAUAAUAACUUUAAACAUAAGUUUUAAGUUUGAAAGAUGCAAUUGCAUCACUCAAAGAUGAUCCCGCGUUGUAUUAGCUAGUUGGUGAGGUAAAGGCUCACCAAGGCGAUGAUACAUAGCCGACCUGAGAGGGUGAUCGGCCACAUUGGGACUGAGACACGGCCCAAACUCCUACAGGAGGCAGCAGUAGGGAAUCUUCGGCAAGGGACGAAAGUCUGACCGAGCAACGCCGCGGGAGGGAAGAAGGGUUUCGGAUCGUAAAACUCUGUUGGUAGAGAAGAACGUUGGUGAGAGUGGAAAGCUCAUCAAGUGACGGUAACUACCCAGAAAGGGACGGCUAACUACGUG